GGUCCGUAGGCGGUUUAAUAAGUCAGUGGUGAAAGCCCAUCGGCUCAACGGUGGAACGGCCAUUGAUACUGUUAAACUUGAAUUAUUAAGAAGUAACUAGAAUAUGUAGUGUAGCGGUGAAAUGCUUAGAUAUUACAUGGAAUACCAAUUGCGAAGGCAGGUUACUACUAAUGGAUUGACGCUGAUGGACGAAAGCGUGGGUAGCGAACAGGAUUAGAUACCCUGGUAGUCCACGCCGUAAACGAUGGAUACUAGCUGUUGGAAGCAAUUUCAGUGGCUAAGCGAAAGUGAUAAGUAUCCCACCUGGGGAGUACGUUCGCAAGAAUGAAACUCAAAGGAAUUGACGGGGGCCCGCACAAGCGGUGGAGCAUGUGGUUUAAUUCGAUGAUACGCGAGGAACCUUACCAAGGCUUAAAUGUAGAUUGACCGGUUUGGAAACAGAUCUUUCGCAAGACAAUUUACAAGGUGCUGCAUGGUUGUCGUCAGCUCGUGCCGUGAGGUGUCAGGUUAAUUCCUAUAACGAGCGCAACCCCUGUUGUUAGUUGCCAGCGAGUCAUGUCGGGAACUCUAACAAGACUGCCAGUGCGAACUGUGAGGAAGGUGGGGAUGACGUCGAAUCAUCACGGCCCUUACGCCUUGGGCUACACACGUGCUACAAUGGCCGGUACAGAGAGCAGCCACUGGGCGAC
rnacentral:rRNA from 1 species